UUUAUUAGAAAGCGAAGUAUUGCAUUUAGUUUCGACCUAACCCUUAGGCUUUUCAGCCUUCUAAUUUGAU
rnacentral:tRNA from 1 species